AAUCAACGCUGGCGGCGUGCCUCAGACAUGCAAGUCGAACGAUUAAAGCUCUCUUCGGAGAGUGCAUAGAGUGGCGCACGGGUGAGUAACACGUAAGUAAUCUACCUUCGAGUGGGGAAUAACAGUCGGAAACGACUGCUAAUACCGCAUAAUGCAGCGGCAUCGCAAGAUGACAGUUGUUAAAGGAGCAAUUCGCUUGAAGAGGAGCUUGCGGCAGAUUAGCUAGUUGGUAAGGUAAUGGCUUACCAAGGCUACGAUCUGUAUCCGGUCUAAGAGGACGGUCGGACACACUGACACUGAAUAACGGGUCAGACUCCUACGGGAGGCAGCAGUCGGGAAUUUUGGGCAAUGGGCGAAAGCCUGACCCAGCAACGCGCGUGAAGGAUGAAGUAUUUCGGUAUGU
rnacentral:rRNA from 1 species